rnacentral:rRNA from 1 species
GAGUUUGAUCGUGGCUCAGGAUAAACGCUGGCGGCAUGCCUAAUACAUGCAAGUCGAACGGGAGUGCUUGCACUCCAGUGGCGAACGGGUGAGUAACACGUAUCUAAUCUACCUUUUAGUGGGGGAUAACCUUUGGAAACGAAGGAUAAUACCGCAUAAGAUCUUCAUUAUGACAUCAGAAGAAGAGGAAAGAUCCGUUUGGAUCGCUAAAAGAUGAGGAUGCGGCGUAUUAGUUAGUAGGCGGGGUAAAGGCCCACCUAGACGAUGAUACGUAGCCGAACUGAGAGGUUGAUCGGCCACAUUGGGACUGAGAUACGGCCCAGACUCCUACGGGAGGCAGCAGUAGGGAAUUUUUCACAAUGGACGAAAGUCUGAUGAAGCAAUGCCGCGUGAGUGAUGAAGGUCUUCGGAUUGUAAAGC